ensembl:lncRNA
UUGAGAAAAAAAGGAGGAGGGACAGAAACUCCGCGAAGAGGAAGACUUCAGACAAGGUGAUGCAACUGAAAAUUCCGAAUUGACACAACCUGCCACCAGAUCUAUACGACACCACGCUAUGUUUCCCGUGUGUACCAAGAAUGGUCCACUACCCAAAGGACAUCCAGCCAACUUGACACAACUGUGGGAAGCAUUGGAGUCAACAUGGACCAGCAUCCCUGGGGAACGCUUUCAUCACCUUGUAGAGUAUGGAAUCUGAUGAAUUGAGGCUGUUCUGAGGGCCAAAGGGGGUGCAACUCAAUAUUAGGAAGGUGUUUGUUCCUAAUGUCUUGUACACUCAGUGUACAUCAUUAAUCCUAACACACUGUGGGAUGUCAGGUCAACCGACUCCCAACAUAUUGAUGCUAAAGAUGAUAAAGAGAGAGUUUACCCAAGUUACAGAAUGACACAUCGAUUUUGUUACCGUCUAAGCAGUCCCUGGCAUGGGUCCCACAUGCUAACUUUUAAGCAAAAGUUUAUCAAAAGCUAACUGUUGGAGCUCCCGAGUGGCGCAGCAGUCUAAGGCACUACAUCUCCGUGCUAGAGGCGUCACUACAGACACCCACUAAAGACACCCUAAUCCAGUUUGUAUCACAACUGGCUGUGAUUGGGAGUCCCAUAGGGCGGCGCACAAUUGGCCCAGCGUCGUCUGGGUUUGGCCGGUGUAGGCCAUCAUUGUAAAUAUGAAUGUGUUCUUAACUGACUUGCCUAGUUAAAUAAAGGUUCAAUAAAAGCAUAAAAAAAGAAAAUACAUGCACUUGUGGUACAAAUCCCAUUCAAGUCAUGGGACCGAUAUUAGAAUAUUUUGCGCAUCAUGUCCAAAUCAUCCGAAAGUAUCAAAAAUGUAUUGAGAAGCUCAACAGUCUCCUACAGAUGUUUUGAGCAUGAUGAGCAUGGAUUGCUGUUAUACCUUAUCCAUAGACUGCUUCUAGGGUCAGGAAACCAAUAUGUCAAAAGAUAUAGAUCAUCCUAAAUAUGUUCAAAGGGCAUUGUGUCAUUGUACUUUCC